rnacentral:tRNA from 1 species
GUCUGGUUCGACUAUCGGUUAGGUCUUCAGGUUUUCAUCCUGACAAGAGGGGUUCGAUUCCCCUACCAGAUGCCA